rnacentral:rRNA from 1 species
CCUACGGGCGGCAGCAGUGAGGAAUAUUGGUCAAUGGGCGGGAGCCUGAACCAGCCAAGUCGCGUGAAGGAAGAAGGUACUUAGUAUUGUAAACUUCUUUUGUCGGGGAACAAAGGCGGAGACGCGUCUCCGGAUGAGUGUACCCGAAGAAAAAGCAUCGGCUAACUCCGUGCCAGCAGCCGCGGUAAUACGGAGGAUGCGAGCGUUAUCCGGAUUUAUUGGGUUUAAGGGGUGCGCAGGCGGGAGAUCAAGUCAGCGGGAAAAUGUCGGGGCUCAACCCCGGCCGGCCGUUGAAACUGGUUAGCUAGAGUUGGAGAGAAGUAUGCGGAAUUCGUGGUGUAGCGGUGAAAUGCAUAGAUAUCACGAAGAACUCCGAUUGCGAAGGCAGCAUACCGGCUCCAUACUGACGCUGAGGCACGAAAGCGUGGGGAGCGAACAGGAUUAGAUACCCGGGUAGUC